rnacentral:rRNA from 1 species
UACGUAGGGUCCGAGCGUUGUCCGGAUUUAUUGGGUUUAAAGGGUGCGUAGGCGGCCCGUUAAGUCAGUGGUGAAAGCCUCCAGCUCAACUGGAGAACUGCCAUUGAUACUGACGGGCUUGAGUACAGACGAGGUUGGCGGAAUUGAUUGUGUAGCGGUGAAAUGCAUAGAUACAAUCAAGAACUCCGAUUGCGUAGGCAGCUAACUAGGCUGUAACUGACGCUGAGGCACGAAAGCGUGGGGAGCGAACAGG